rnacentral:rRNA from 1 species
UCAGAAUGAACGCUGCGGGCGUGCUUACACCAUGCAGGUCGGACGAGAAAGGCUGAUUUCGGUUGGCCGAGUAAAGUGGCGCACGGGUGAGUAAUACAUAAGCAACCUGCCUACAAAGACUGGGAUAAUCUCCGGAAACGGGGACUAAUACCGGAUAGGUAACGGGAUCACAUGACCUUGUUAUUAAAGAUCAGAAACACUAGUAGAUGGGCUUAUGGUGCAUUAGUUAGUUGGUAAGGUAACGGCCUACCAAGACGAUGAUGCAUAGCCGGGCUGAGAGGCUGAACGGCCACAUUGGGACUGAGACACGGCCCAGACUCCUACGGGAGGCAGCAGUAGGGAAUUUUCGGCAAUGGGGGAAACCCUGACCGAGCAACGCCGCGUGAGUGAUGAAAGUCUUCGGAUUGUAAAGCUCUGUUAUAAGGGAAGAACGUCCCCGAUAGAAUCGGGGAGCGACGGUACCUUAUCAGAAAGCUACGGCUAACUACGUGCCAGCAGCCGCGGUAAUACGUAGGUAGCGAGCGUUAUCCGGAAUUAUUGGGCGUAAAGGGUGCGUAGGCGGCUUGUUAAGUUUAAGGUGAAAGCGUGGGGCUCAACCCCAUAAAGCCUUAGAUACUGACAAGCUAGAGUACUGGAGAGGGUAGUGGAAUUCCAUGUGUAGCGGUAAAAUGCGUAGAUAUAUGGAGGAACACCGGUGGCGAAGGCGGCUACCUAGACAGAGACUGACGCUGAUGCACGAAAGCGUGGGGAGCAAAUAGGAUUAGAUACCCUAGUAGUCCACGCUGUAAACGAUGAAUACUAGGUAUCGGGGCGACCCGGUGCCGCAGUUAACACGAUAAGUAUUCCGCCUGUGGAGUAUGCACGCAAGUGUGAAACUUAAAGGAAUUGACGG